UUUUUUUUGGUUUUCUUAUUUCGCGAGCGUUCACCGAACCGUUCGUUUUAACGAACGCGUUCGUCGGUUUUUCUCUGUUAACGAACGUCCGUUAUUUAACCGUUCGUCCGUUUUUCUUUUUCGUCGGAUUUUUCUCGUUAUUUUCUCAGAUUCGAUUUCUGAUCGAAUUUUCGAUUCUGUUUAACUUCUCGCUCGUUUAUCGGAAUCAGGCGAUUCAAGCGCCUAGAGUUUCGUCUCGAAAUUCUCUUUCCGUUUAACCUACUCAAACAAGUUUUUGCUAUAGUAAAAUUUGACCUAGAUCCAGAUUAGCAAACGAAGUUUCUUUCUUUCGCCGUUUGACUUUCGUUGCUUCUUUCGAAUUGAUUUUUUUUGCAAACCGGAGUUCUUAAGUUGAACUUUCUGGUUGGAUCUUUCAUUCGAGUUUUACCUGUGCAUUAGUUGAGUACUGAUCGUAUGCUUGUUUGUUUGCGAUAGAGUACCCGGAGUGUGCCGCUUGUUACUUCGACUCGUUAGGUUUUGCGGAUCAUCAGCAAGGCAAGUAACACUUUGAUCAUACCCCGUUCAUACCCAGUUUUUAUUGCAUUAGAUCUAUUCCCCAAACAUUGCAUGAUUAGGAUCUAAUUAAACUGAGGGUAUUGGGAAGUAGUUGAGGUAGUACCUAUUACCUGUUUUACAUUAUCAAACCCUUGGGAGUUACUUCUACGUUGCUUUUAUUAUUGCCAUGCUAUGCUCGUAGACGUGGAUUGGGUUUGAGUGAUAUUCAUGACAGAUGUGAGAUGUUUAUUAAUGGUUCAACUUAAGGUGGCAACUAAAACUCACAUCUGGGUGGAUUGAGGCACCUGGAGAACCCAGUGUUGUCUGUAUGUAUAAGGUCCGCCACCCAGGCUCAAAGGGAUCAUAAGAUUAUUCAUGCUAGAAACUUCCGUGUGCAGCCACAAGCUAUUAUGGGCUCUAGCAUAGCUGAGUAGGUUACAUGAUCUCUUGAAGAGGUGGACUAGCAGAUGUAGGGGAAAGUAGGUGUACCGGUCCAUCCAGAGUAAAGAGUGAUUGUUUCUGAAAGACUGUGUCUCGGUCAUCCGUUUCUCAAACAUCAUGCAGUGCGAGAAUCAAGCGGAGGCGAUCGAGUCUUGUGGGGAAAAGUGCACAAACCUCUGCAGAGUGUACAAACUGAUCAUGAUUAGCCGUGUCCCCGGUUAUGGACAACUUGAGUAUCUAGUACCUGGAUUAUCAUUUGAAUCUCAUCACCGUGAUACUUAUAAUUAAUUUUGUUGGGUUAAUGAUGACACUUAAUUGGGAUUGAGUUGGAGGUACCUUCUCAAUGUUUCAACCACCAUGAUAGUUAAAUAAAAUUUAUUCCUUUGCAGUAGGGAAAAAUUGGCUUUUCGCAAAAACUGUAACCAUAGAGCCUUCCACCAGCCAUAUAUGCCUAUAGUAUAGCAUUAUCAUUGUUCAUUGUUCUCUAUGUGUUACAUUGCCAGCAUAUUCUGUGUGCUGACCCGUUUUUGGGCUGCAACGUUUCAUGUUGCAGACUUUUCAGACGACGAGUAAGGUGCCUUAGGUCGUGGUCUUAUACUCAGUGAUGCCGCUGGAGUUGAUGGACUCACUUGUCUUCCAAGUCUUCCACUGUUAUCGUUAUUAGAUGGCCUUAAGCCAUGUUUAUCAUACUUAAUCUCUUUGGAGAUAUUCAAUGUAAUAAGUGUGUGAUUGCUACUCUGUUAUAAAUCCUCCAUUUGUACUGUGCGUGUCAGCAUUACUGAUCCAGGGAUGACACUGGUGCACAGCAGCACAGGCCAUUUGAGGUCUGGUCGCUACAGGUGCUAAAUUUUAUUGUAUGAGAUGAUCAUGUUUUGUAACCGAGUUAUCGGCAACUGGCAGGAGCCAUAUGGUUGUCGCUUUAUUGUAUGCAAUGCAAUCGCCCUGUAAUGCUUUACUUUAUCACUAAGCGGUAGCGAUAGUCGUAGAAGCAUAAGUUUGGCGAGAUGACAACGAUGCUACGAUGGAGAUCAAGGUGUCGUGCCGGUUACGAUGGUGAUCAUGACGGUGCUUCGGAGAUGGAGAUCACAAGCACAAGAUGAUGAUGGCCAUAUCAUAUCACUUAUAUUGAUUGCAUGUGAUGUUUAUCUUUUAUGCAUCUUAUCUUGCUUUGAUUGAUGGUAGCAUUAUAAGAUGAUCUCUCACUAAAUUUCAAGAUAAAAGUGUUCUCCCUGAGUAUGUAUCGUUGCCAAAGUUCGUCGUGCCCAGACACCACGUGAUGAUCGGGUGUGAUAAGCUCUACAUCCAUCUACAACGGGUGCAAGCCAGUUUUGCACACGCAGAAUACUCAGGUUAAACUUGACGAGCCUAGCAUAUGCAGAUAUGGCCUCGGAACACUGAGAUCCAAAGGUCGAGCGUGAAUCAUAUAGUAGAUAUGAUCAACAUAAUGAUGUUCACCAUUGAAAGGUACUCCAUUUCACGUGAUGAUCGGUUAUGGUUUAGUUGAUUUGGAUCACGUGAUCACUUAGAGGAUUAGAGGGAUGUCUAUCUAAGUGGGAGUUCUUAAGUAAUAUGAUUAAUUGAACUUAAAUUUAUCAUGAACUUAGUACCUGAUAGUAUCUUGCUUGUCUAUGUUGAUUGUAGAUAGAUGGCCCGUGCUGUUGUUCCGUUGAAUUUUAAUGCGUUCCAUGAGAAAGCAAAGUUGAAAGAUGAUGGUAUCAAUUACACGGACUGGGUCCAUAACUUGAGGAUUAUCCUCAUUGCUGCACAAAAGAAUUACGUCCUGGAAGCACCGCUAGGUGCCAAACCUGCUGCAGGAGCAACACCAGAUGUUAUGAACGUCUGGCAGAGCAAAGCUGAUGACUACUCGAUAGUUCAGUGUGCCAUGCUUUACGGCUUAGAACCGGGACUUCAACGACGUUUUGAACGUCAUGGAGCAUAUGAGAUGUUCCAGGAGUUGAAGUUAAUAUUUCAAGCAAAUGCCCAGAUUGAGAGAUAUGAAGUCUCCAAUAAGUUCUAUAGCUGCAAGAUGGAGGAGAAUAGUUCUGUCAGUGAGCAUAUACUCAAAAUGUCUGGGUAUAAUAAUCACUUGAUUCAACUGGGAGUUAAUAUUCCGGAUGAUAGCAUCAUUGACAGAAUUCUUCAAUCACUGCCACCAAGCUACAAGAGCUUCGUGAUGAACUAUAACAUGCAAGGGAUGGAUAAGACGAUUCCCGAGCUCUUCGCAAUGCUAAAGGCUGCGGAGGUAGAAAUCAAGAAGGAGCAUCAAGUGUUGAUGGUCAAUAAGACCACCAGUUUCAAGAAAAAGGGCAAAGGGAAGAAGAAGGGGAACUUCAAGAACAGCAAGCAAGUUGCUGCUCAAGAGAAGAAACCCAAGUCUGGACCUAAGCCUGAGACUGAGUGCUUCUACUGCAAGCAGACUGGUCACUUGAAGCGGAACUGCCCCAAGUAUUUGGCGGAUAAGAAGGAUGGCAAGGUGAACAAAGGUAUAUGUGAUAUACAUGUUAUUGAUGUGUACCUUACCAAAGCUCGCAGUAGCACCUGGGUAUUUGAUACUGGUUCUGUUGCUAAUAUUUGCAACUCAAAACAGGGACUACGGAUUAAGCGAACACUGGCCAAGGACGAGGUGACGAUGCGCGUGGGAAACGGUUCCAAAGUCGAUGUGAUCGCUGUCGGCAAGCUACCUCUACAUCUACCUUCGGGAUUAGUAUUAGACCUAAAUAAUUGUUAUUUGGUGCCAGCGUUAAGCAUGAACAUUAUAUCUGGAUCUUGUUUGAUGCGAGACGGUUAUUCAUUUAAAUCAGAGAAUAAUGGUUGUUCUAUUUAUAUGAGUAAUAUCUUUUAUGGUCAUGCACCCUUAAAGAGUGGUCUAUUUUUGAUGAAUCUCGAUAGUAGUGAUACACAUAUUCAUAAUGUUGAAGCCAAAAGAUGCAGAGUUGAUAAUGAUAGUGCAACUUAUUUGUGGCACUGCCGUUUAGGUCAUAUCGGUGUAAAGCGCAUGAAGAAACUCCAUACUGAUGGACUUUUGGAACCACUUGAUUAUGAAUCACUUGGUACUUGCGAACCGUGCCUCAUGGGCAAGAUGACUAAAACGCCAUUCUCCGGUACUAUGGAGAGAGUAACAGAUUUGUUGGAAAUCAUACAUACAGAUGUAUGUGGUCCGAUGAAUGUUGAGGCUCGCGGCGGGUAUCGUUAUUUUCUCACCUUCACAGAUGACUUAAGCAGAUAUGGGUAUAUCUACUUAAUGAAACAUAAGUCUGAAACAUUUGAAAAGUUCAAAGAAUUUCAGAGUGAAGUUGAAAAUCAUCGUAACAAGAAAAUAAAGUUUCUACGAUCUGAUCGUGGAGGAGAAUAUUUGAGUUACGAGUUUGGUCUACAUUUGAAACAAUGCAGAAUAGUUUGGCAACUCACGCCACCCGGAACACCACAGCGUAAUGGUGUGUCCGAACGUCGUAAUCGUACUUUACUAGAUAUGGUACGAUCUAUGAUGUCUCUUACUGAUUUACCGCUAUCAUUUUGGGGUUAUGCUUUAGAGACGGCUGCAUUCACGUUAAAUAGGGCACCAUCGAAAUCCGUUGAGACGACGCCUUAUGAACUGUGGUUUGGCAAGAAACCAAAGUUGUCGUUUCUUAAAGUUUGGGGCUGCGAUGCUUAUGUGAAAAAGCUUCAACCUGAUAAGCUCGAACCCAAAUCGGAGAAAUGUGUCUUCAUAGGAUACCCAAAGGAGACUGUUGGGUACACCUUCUAUCACAGAUCCGAAGGCAAGACAUUCGUUGCUAAGAAUGGAUCCUUUCUAGAGAAUGAGUUUCUCUCGAAAGAAGUGAGUGGGGGGGAAGUAGAACUUGAUGAGGUAACCGUACCUGCUCCCUUAUUGGAAAGUAGUUCAUCACAGAAACCGGUUCCUGUGACGUCUAUACCAAUUAGUGAGGAAGUUAAUGAUGAUGAUCAUGGAACUUCGGAUCAAGUUGUUACUAAACCUCGUAGGUCAACCAGAGUAAGAUCCGCACCAGAGUGGUACGGUAAUCCUGUUCUGGAGGUUAUGUUACUAGACCAUGACGAACCUACAAACUAUGAAGAAGCGAUGGUGAGCCCAGAUUCUGCAAAAUGGCUUGAGGCCAUGAAAUCUGAGAUGGGAUCCAUGUAUGAGAACAAAGUGUGGACUUUGGUUGACUUUCCCGAUGAUCGGCAAGCCAUUGAGAAUAAAUGGAUCUUCAAGAAGAAGACUGACGCUGACGGUAAUGUUACUAUCUAUAAAGCUCGACUUGUUGCAAAAGGUUUUCGACAAGUUCAAGGAAUUGACUACGAUGAGACUUUCUCACCCGUAGCGAUGCUUAAGUCUGUCCACAUGUUAGCAAUUGCCGGAUUUUAUGAUUAUGAAAUUUGGCAAAUGGAUGUCAAAACUGCAUUCCUGAAUGGAUUUCUAGAAGAAGAGUUGUAUAUGAUGCAACCAGAAGGUUUUGUCGAUCCAAAGGGAGCUAACAAAGUGUGCAAGCUCCAGUGAUCCAUUUAUGGACUGGUGCAAGCCUCUCGGAGUUGGAAUAAACGCUUUGAUAGUGUGAUCAAAGCAUUUGGUUUUGCACAGACUUUUGGAGAAGCCUGUAUUUACAAGAAAGUGAGUGGGAGCUCUGUAGCAUUUCUGAUAUUAUAUGUGGAUGACAUAUUGUUGAUUGGAAAUGAUAUAGAAUUUCUGGAUAGCAUAAAGGGAUACUUGAAUAAGAGUUUUUCAAUGAAGGACCUCGGUGAAGCUGCUUAUAUAUUGGGCAUCAAGAUCUAUAGAGAUAGAUCAAGAUGCUUAAUUGUACUUUCACAAAGCACAUACCUUGACAAAGUUUUGAAGAAGUUCAAAAUGGAUCAAGCAAAGAAAGGGUUCUUGCCUGUGUUACAAGGUGUGAAGUUGAGUAAGACUCAAUGCCCGACCACUGCAGAAGAUAGAGAAAAGAUGGAAGAUGUUCCCUAUGCUUUAGCCAUGGGCUCUAUCAUGUAUGCAAUGUUGUGUACCAGACCUGAUGUGUGCCUUGCUAUAAGUCUAGCAGGGAGGUACCAAAGUAAUCCAGGAGUGGAUCACUGGACAGCGGUCAAGAACAUCCUGAAAUACCUGAAAAGGACUAAGGAUAUGUUUCUCGUUUAUGGUGGUGACAAAGAGCUAGUCGUAAAUGGUUACGUCGAUGCAAGCUUUGACACUAAUCCGGACGAUUCUAAAUCGCAAACCGGAUACGUGUUUACAUUGAAUGGUGGAGCUGUCAGUUGGUGCAGUUCUAAACAAAGCGUCGUGCCAGGAUCUACGUGUGAAGCGGAGUACAUAGCUGCUUCGGAAGCAGCAAAUGAAGGAGUCUGGAUGAAGGAGUUCAUAUCCGAUCUAGGUGUCAUACCUAGUGCAUCGGGUCCAAUGAAAAUCUUUUGUGACAAUACUGGUGCAAUUGCCUUGGCGAACGAAUCUAGAUUUCACAAGAGAACCAAGCACAUCAAGAGACGCUUCAAUUCAUUCGGGAUUUAGUCCAGGUGGGAGGCAUAGAAAUUUGCAAGAUACAUAUGGAUCUGAAUGUUGCAGACCCGUUGACUAAGCCUCUUCCACGACCAAAACAUGAUCAGCACCAAGGCUCCAUGGGUGUUAGAAUCAUUACUGUGUAAUCUAGAUUAUUGACUCUAGUGCAAGUGGGAGACUGAAGGAAAUAUGCCCUAGAGGCAAUAAUAAAGUUAUUAUUUAUUUCCUUAUAUCAUGAUAAAUUUUUAUUAUUCAUGCUAGAAUUGUAUUAACCGGAAACAUAAUACUUGUGUGAAUACAUAGACAAACAGAGUGUCACUAGUAUGCCUCUACUUGACUAGCUCGUUAAUCAAAGAUGGUUAUGUUUCCUAGCCAUAGACAUGAGUUGUCAUUUGAUUAACGGGAUCACCUCAUUAGGAGAAUGACGUGAUUGACUUGACCCAUUCCGUUAGCUUAGCACUCGAUCGUUUAGUAUGUUGCUAUUGCUUUCUUCAUGACUUAUACAUGUUCCUAUGACUAUGAGAUUAUGCAACUCCCGUUUACUGGAGGAACACUUUGUGUGCUACCAAACGUCACAACGUAACUGGGUGAUUAUAAAGGUGCUCUACAGGUGUCUCCGAAGGUACUUGUUGGGUUGGCGUAUUUCGAGAUUAGGAUUUGUCACUUUGAUUGUCGGAGAGGUAUCUCUGGGCCCACUCGGUAAUGCACAUCACUUAAGCCUUGCAAGCAUUGCAACUAAUGAGUUAGUUGCAGGAUGAUCUAUUAAGCAACGAGUAAAGAGACUUGCCAGUAACGAGAUUGAACUAGGUAUUGAGAUACCGACGAUCGAAUCUCGGGCAAGUAACAUACCGAUGACAAAGGGAACAACGUAUGUUGUUAUGCGGUCUGACCGAUAAAGAUCUUCGUAGAAUAUGUGGGAGCCAAUAUGAGCAUCCAGGUUCCACUAUUGGUUAUUGACCGGAGACGUGUCUCGGUCAUGUCUACAUAGUUCUCGAACCCGUAGGGUCCGCACGCUUAAAGUUUCGAUGACGGUUAUAUUAUGAGUUUAUGAGUUUUGAUGUACCGAAGGUAGUUCGGAGUCCCGGAUGUGAUCACGGACAUGACGAGGAGUCUCGAAAUGGUCGAGACAUGAAGAUUGAUAUAUUGGAAGCCUAUAUUUGGAUAUCGGAAAUGUUCCGGUUGAAAUCGGGAUUUUACCGAAGUACCGAGGGGUUACCGGAACCCCCCGGGGGCUUAAUGGGCCAUAGUGGGCCUUAGUGGAGAAGAGGAGAGGCGGCUAGGGCAGGGCCGCGCGCCCCUCCCCCUCUAGUCCGAAUAGGACAAGGAGAGGGGGCGGUGCCCCCCUUUCCUUCCUCUCUCCCUCCUCUUUCCCCCUUCUCCUAAUCCAACAAGGAAGGGAGGGAGUCCUACUCCCGGUGGGAGUAGGACUCCUCCUGGCGCGCCCCUCCUGGCCGGCCGCACCUCCCCCCCCUUGCUCCUUUAUAUACGGGGGCAGGGGGCACCCCAUAGACACAACAAUUGAUUUGAUCUUUUAGCCGUGUGCGGUGCCCCCCUCCACCAUAGUCCACCUCGAUAAUACUGUAGUGGUGCUUAGGCGAAGCCCUGCGUCGGUAGAACAUCAUCAUCGUCACCACGCCGUCGUGCUGACGAAACUCUCCCUCAACACUCGACUAGAUCGGAGUUCGAGGGAUGUCAUUGGGCUAAACGUGUGCUGAACUCGGAGGUGCCGUGCGUUCGGUACUUGAUCGGUCGGAUCGUGAAGACGUACGACUACAUCAACCGCGUUGUGCUAACGCUUCCGCUUUCGGUCUACGAGGGUACGUGGACAACACUCUCCCCUCUCGUUGCUAUGCAUCACCAUGAUCUUGCGUGUGCGUAGGAAAUUUUUUGAAAUUACUACGUUCCCCAACAGGGUGCUCAAUCAAUCUUCUCAAAAUCUCAAGCGGAGCGGCCAACGAAAAACAUUGGAGCAGGCUAGCUAUUUAUAGCCGUAGCCUUCCCUGAUGGCAAAUGACCAUUUAGGACACGUGGUCAAGCCAAUGGCCAACUGACACGUUUCCAACGGCCGGAAUUUGAGCACAACGGUAACAUUGCUUGCGAAACAAGUAGUGCUAACUCCUCGGUCCGAAGGAUAUCUCUUUCAGACCAGAAGAGCAUCGUCUCUGGCUAGCAAGUAAUCAUUCGGAACACAAAGAGAUUUCUCUCAGUCUUGCAUAGGUUUCGGCUAAGCAUCACAUUAAACCUAAGCUUCAAGAACCUAUACCCCUCUUAAUAGUACGGAGGUCCUAUGACUCAAAUACAGGAAGAACAACAACAAAACAUAUGCUAUGACUUCGCUUCGCCUUCAAUCCUCUCAACUACAGUCAUUCUUCUUCGAACACACAGAACAAAAAUUGCUUUGCAUCAAUAAUAAUAUUAAGGGGUCUAUUCUUUCACACAAUCUUCUCGGUACUCUUUAUUCUCGAAAUGUAUAUCCUAUAUGCAAUGCAAAUGUUCCUCCGUGAAGUCCUUCAAACUCCAGGGAAGAAUACAACAUUCUUCUCGGUACUUCAGGGACUAUUUCUCUCUGUGUGCACUAGCAAACAAAUCAGUCUCUUACUAUUUCUGUCAACAAUCUCCAAAACACACAGGGCAAGUAGUUGCACAAAUAACUUCUAUAAAAUUUACAAUAAUAUGAGCCCAUGCCAUCGGUGCUACUUCUAUUAGCCCCAGCAAUCCUGGAGGAUGAAUGUGUUCACUUUUUAUCACUUGACAAACUGGGCAUUGACUGACAAACUAUUCCACAAUCUUCCUCAUGUUAGGCCAAUAAAAUACCCCCUUCUCUGUUAUAAGUAGCUUUAACACUAGAGUGUCCCCCAAUUGCUAAAGAGUACAAGUGUGCACUAACUGUCUAAAAUUGUUGGUUCCUCCCACAUACAACCUAUUCUUGUAUUUGAGAACACUAUCUUGUAAUACGAAAUUAGAUGUGUCCUCUACAUCCUUUGCAACAGUCUGUAGCAGUUUAGAGCAAUCAAAAUCUCCCAAAUAACUUCGCCUGGCAUGAUCUAUCCAUGCUGGAAUAACUUGUGUAAUUGCAUUGCAACUUGUAUGAUCUAAAAAAACUUUAUGACCUGAAACAUAUCUCUGGAUAAAGCAUCUACCAUCACACAUUCUCUUUUCUCUUUUUAUAUUCAAUUUGAUAGUCAAAUUCCAACAGUUUCACUCGGAUUCUGUGUUGGAUUCCCUCUGUCAAACUUUGAGUUUUCAUGUAUUUAAGACUCUGCUGGUUAGUCUUGAUGAUCAAUAGCUUUCCCAAAAUGUAAUUCCUCUAAUUUUCUAAACUAUAUACAAUGGAAAUUGCCUUUCUCAUACAUAGAUUGAGAUGCAACUUUUGGACCCAAAAUUUUAUUGAAAAAUACUAUUGGUUUCCCUCUUUGCAUUAACACUGCCCCAAUGCAUGUAUCACAUGCAUCUACUUCUGUAGUAAAGGGGUUCUGGAAAUCAGGAAAGGCAAGUACAGGGCAAGAAGUCAUUACUAUUUUCAGAGUGAAAGUUCUAUCUUGUGUUGGACCCCAAGUAAAUGCUUAUUUCUUAAGUACAUGUAGUGUUCUACAAAUUGAACGAAGGGAUCAAAUUGGAGAAUCAAAAUCACUCACAGAUAUCCCGAAUUAGUCUGGUGCAGUAAAGAGGAAGAACCCUAGGUAAACUAGAGAUAGCUAAAUGUUCAUCCUUCUUACGGACAUUGUCCGACUACAACCUAUCUGUAUUACAACAUUUUACUACACAAGAUUACAGUGGUUGAAAGCACAGAGUGACGAGAGCUUAAAGAUAAACAGUGACAACCCGCGUGUUGAUCUCCAUUGUUCGUGUUCACUUGGGGAACCAUCGGUUGAUCUCGACCAUUCGAUAACUGAUCCGGUUUGUGUCGUAUGAGCUUCAGGUGUCAAACAACAUUCAGUCUCAGACUAUCUUCAGUUAGUCUUGGUCCUAACAUCUUGUUGAUGCAGUCACUCUUGGUCUCAGAAGUUGGGGCAAUGAUGGUGGCGGUGGUGGGGAGGAUGAUGUGGGCGUACUAAUGGCAAGACGACCAUGACUGCGGCAGGAAGCAGUAGUUGGCCAUUUUUCGGCAUAGCCGACUCCAAUGCAUGUACUCUAGAUUUGUCUUGAGUAGGAGAAACGAAAAAUUGCCAUCAAUGAGUUGAGUCGAGGCACCUUGCCUCGACUUUGUGUGCGGUAAUUUAAAUUGUAUUGAUCGCUCCAUGCCUUAACCUUUUCCUAUGCCUACGGUAGUUCAAAGUUAUGCACUAAAUAUUGCUUGUCGUUUUCACAUCACGUGAGGUGUCGACAAAUUGUCCCACUCGAGCUCGAUAAUCAAGAGAAGAACAUGCAUGUGGCUAAGGUGAUGUGAAAGCUUUAGUGACCUUCAAGAUGCAUUAGAGGACCCAUGUGACCAUGAUACCCAUGCGUGCAGCACCCCAUCAUCCCAGAUGGAGCAGACGAGUAGAACAUGACCCGCGUUGUCGUUGUCCCUAUCGCGUGGCACUGCCAUUGUUCCAUGUUAGAAUAUCCUACUCAUGUAGGGAGGUGACCAUUUGAAGCGUCUUAGGCAUCCCAAAGGUGUGCACAAGCUCAUUACCCAUUACAGUUAUGAUCUUGGGUGAUUUUGGACUUUGCACAUGAGAGGAUGGGGAUGUUUUAUCCUUCGUCCAGAGCAUGCUUCCAGAAGGUAUUUUAGGGAGCCCUUGCGACAUAGCAGAAUUUGGUUAUAGUUUCUAGAAAAUCUAUUUGGCAAACGAUCUACAUUUAGGCUUACAGACGAACGACCUGAGAGGCGUCUGAUCGUGAGGCCAAAAAUAGAUGCUGAAAGCCGGAGUCGAACUCAAUAAUCUAGCGUUGAGACUAUUGUUUGCACUACCAGCGACUAGACUAGCCCAAUGUUUGUACAUUUCUAAACUACAAUCUAUUUGUAUCAGCCAACUUUAUCAAGUGUCACACUAGCAAACUGAAAGAGGCAUGACUUUAAAAUAUGGUCCAGGGCUAUUGACAAGUAGUCAACAACUUUGCAUGACUCCCCAAGAAUUAGGUGGCUAUGUGAACUAUUCAUGGGGCGGCUAUACCCAUGGAUGUGAUGCACACAUACAUAGCCCUUCAUAGAUGCCGACUAUUCUCACCAAAUCCAAUGGCCACGGUCUACCUAGCAGCAUGGAAAUUAUAUAGCUACCCAAUGGACAUGCUACAAUUAUCAACAAUGUCAACUAUGUUUUAGUCUCACAGCUACACCACCUGUAUUACAAUUACCAACGCGUCGUUUGGGUAGUUACCAUUUUGUCAAUGCAAAAGUUACCAACACAGCAAUUAUGUAGUUAUCUGGUCGUUCAUGCUAUAGUUAUCAGGCCAUCCAUGCUAUAGUUAUCAGACCGCUUAUGCAAAAGUUAUCAACACUAUGAUAAUGUAGUUACCAUGCCGCCCAUGCUAUACUUGCCAACACAACAAGUAUGUAGUUAUCAUGCAGGUCAUGCUAAAGUUACCAGCCUAUUCAUUACGUAAUUAUGAGGCCACCGAUGAUAAAAUUACUAACACAACUAAUAUGAAGGUACCAUGCCGACCAUAUUGAAGUUAUCCGCAUAGCAAUUUUAUCGUUAUCACGUCGUCCCUGCUACAUGUACCAACACAAUGAUUAAGUAGUUAUCAUGCCAUCCAUACUAAAGUUACCAACAUAGCAAUUAUGUACUCCCUCCGUCCCAAAAUGUAAGACCUUUUCAACAGGCUAACACACUUUGGGACGGAGGGAGUAGUUAUCAGGACGCCCAUGGUAUAGGGCAUGUCAUGAUAAAGUUAUCAACGUAACAAUUAUGUACUUAUCCAACCGUUCGAGCUACAAUUACCAACAUGAGACAACUAUAGUUACCACCCACCCAUUCUAUAGUUACCAACAUGACAACUAUGUAGUUACCAGCCAUAUGUGCUAAAGUUACCAACGUGAGAAAACUAUAGUUAUCAGGCCACUCAUGCUAAAGUUACCAACAUAAGACAACUACAGUUAUCAUCUACCCAUGUCGUAGUUAUCAACAUACUAAAUAUGAGACAACUGUAGUUAGCAAAUGUAUAUGCCACAAUUGUCCAGCGUAUUAGGUCGCACUCAUCAUUGUAGUAGUGAUGUAGUUACAUUGAUGUUUGCGGCGAGAACUUGUUUUGGAAUCGUGAACUAUUCACGAGUAGUUCGACGACCCACAAAAUGUUUACCGGUAACAACAUGGGUAACUCUUGUACCGGAUGAUAACUUUCAGCCUAAUCAACCACUGAAACAUUGCUAAAAAGUUCCAAUUUUCAUGUCCGGUAACUUUUGUGUGAACAUGUUGGUAAUUUACGUACUGCAGCUUGGAAAUUUUUUAAAUGAAAAAAAAACAUCAAAACAUACCAACAUCAAAUUUAGUUUCGAAGGUUUCACCGCGAUGGAUUUAAUGGUGAAAAUAAAUUUUGAGUCAGAACGACAGUUUGAGCUACAAAUUGAAUAUUAAAUUUUGAUGGAAUCUUUGCUAGCAUAUGCAUGUGGAGAGAAGGGUGGGGGGCCAUUUUAUGCUCAGUGGGUCACGUAUUGCAACUUGGUAACUUCUGAUCCCAAAAAAGUGGUCGGAAUAUACCGGCACCGGAUAAAGUUUCAAAGGUCCCAUAGCAGCGGAUUUAAUGGUGAAAACGGAUUUUGAAUCGGACCAAUAGUUUGAGCUACAAUUGUUUUUGGAAUUUGAUAGAAUCUUUGAUGACAUAAGCUUUUCUUCUCUUGUGCAUAUGGAGCAAAGGGUGUGGGGUGGGGGCAUUUUAUGCCUGGUAACUUAUGUGUGAAUAACUCACGAGUGUAAUUUAGUAACUUACAUUUGUCAAAAAAUGUCACGAAAACAUAUCAACAUAAGAUCUAGUUUUAAAGGUCUUGUCAUGACGCAAAGCAAAUUUCGAAUUGCGCCGACAAUAUGAGCUGCAAAUGUUAUGAAUUUCGAAUUUCGAUGAAAGCAUUGAGGACAUCAGCUUUUAUUCUCUAGUGCAUGUGUGAAGAAGGGUGAAGGAACCAUUUUUAUAUCUGGUAACUUCUGACUGAAUAACUCGGUAACUUACAUACUUCCUCCAAUACAUAUUAAUUGUCGCUGCUUUGGUACUAAUUUUGAAUUGGAUCAUUAGUUGAGCUAGAAAUUAUUUUGAAUUUUGAUAAAAAGAAAUUAUGCCAUUAGUUCUGUCUUGUAGUGCAUGCAUGAAUCUGCAUGUGAGGAGAAGGAUGGGGAAACAUUCAUGCAGCCGAAAAAUGACAGGGUCCUUGUCGCAUCUCUUAUUCUCACAUGUAUUCACCCUGAAAGAGCGUUCAAUCGACCACAAGGGGAGGGGAUGUGAAGAGAUUUUUUAUCAAAUUCUUCGAACAAACUAUUUCUUCGAAGAAGUAACAAACCAAACAAAAGAAGAAUACUGGCUGAAGAAAAGCUACUAUAAGCAUGCAAUCAGACAAACUCAUCAGAAUAGAAGAUAUCACACUUGAGAAUAGUGAGACUGAAGAUAAUUGUUUUAUGUAUGGCGCAUGUACUUAUACUUUUGCACCAAACUUUGCAAAUGCACAUAUGCUGCCAAGAUAAACAUCCACGAAUUAGUGAGAAUAGCGCCUGUGGCAUGCUCAAUUUCAGAUUCCUUGAUGUGUUUCAAAGCAAUUGUGCACUUAAUAGCAGCUGUCCAUUGGAAGUCCAUUUAAAUCCUUGUCAUGCUUAGUGGGAAAACAUAAAAGAAAAAUAAUUAUUUCUUCAUCAACCAGAUGACAAACUCAUAUCAAGAUAUGUUCUAUAAUAAACAUCCCAAUAGAUAAACCAUGAAACUUAGAUGCACCAUGAUCUGUUCUAUAACGAUAACAUUAGGUACACCAUGAAACUUCGUUUAUUGCUGACCUAAACAUGGCUAGUUUACUCUUUAGGGAAUAUGCUACUGUUUCGACCAAAAUCCUUUUGCAUCUUUGCAUUACCAGAGGGGUAUACUUGAUUCAAGAUCACUCUAGCAAACGUUGUUGAUUCCUACCGCUACCAAAUUUCAUAUACUGAAUAAACAUCUUGUAGAUACAUGGAGCCGAGAUACAAAAAUAACAUCCUCAACCCUAGAAUGCCACUCAGAAUAUAACUCAGGGUCUAUGUAUCACUCACCACGAUCCAUUGACCAUCCUUUAAUUGCUAUCUGUGAAGUCCGCGUCGAUAACAUCUCCAUCAUUUGGUCCCUUUCCUGAGCUUGUUGAUCCAGCACCAGGCUCAGUUUCAGCAUCAGUAGAGCCAGCACCACCGGCACUAGUUUGGUUGUACAUAGCCUGUCCGAUCUGCAUUACCUCCUGGUUCAAAGCCUCCAUGGCAGUUUUCAUGUUCUGUGUCGAUCCACCAGCAAUGGCAUCUUUCAGUUCCUGGAGCUUUACAUCAACCUUCUCUUUCACAGGAGCAGGGACCUUGUCCCCAAGCUCCUUCAGUUGCUUCUCCGUCUGGUACACCACAGAGUCUGCUUGGUUCUUGGUGUCAAUAGCAUCUCUUUUCUCUUUGUCCUCCUGGGCGAACUUGUCGGCUUCUUCUACCAUUCUCUCG
rnacentral:lncRNA from 1 species